rnacentral:rRNA from 1 species
AGCAGCCGCGGUAAUUCCAGCUCCAAUAGCGUAUAUUAAAGUUGUUGCAGUUAAAAAGCUCGUAGUUGAAUUUCGGGAUCAAUUUAUCGGUCGUGCCAAUGGUAUGAACUGGUACAAUUGGUUUCUCCCUUCUGACGAAGCAUGAUGUCAUUAAUUUGGUGUCGUGGGGAAUCAGGACUGUUACUUUGAAAAAUUAGAGUGUUUAAAGCAAGCAUUAGCUUGAAUACAUUAGCAUGGAAUAAUGAAAUAGGACGUUUGAUCCUAUUUCGUUGGUUUCUAGGAUCGACGUAAUGAUUAAUAGGGAUAGGUUGGGGGCAUUAGUGUUCAAUUGUCAGAGGUGAAAUUCUUGGAUUUAUUGAAGACUAACUACUGCGAAAGCAUUUGCCAAGGAUGUUUUCAUUAAUCAAGAACGAAAGUUAGGGGAUCGAAGACGAUCAGAUACCGUCGUAGUCUUAACCAUAAAACUAUGCCGACUAGUAGGGAUCGGAUGAUGUUAAUUCUUUAAUGACU